rnacentral:misc_RNA from 1 species
GAUGAAGAACGCAGCGAAAUGCGAUACGUAAUGUGAAUUGCAGAAUUCAGUGAAUCAUCGAAUCUUUGAACGCAUAUUGCGCUCUCUGGUAUUCCGGAGAGCAUGCUUGUUUGAGUAUCAGUAAACACCUCAACUUCCAUAUCUUUUUUGAAAUGGGAGUUGGACUUGAGUGAUCCCAACGCUUUUCCUCACCGAAAAGUGGCGGGUUACUUGAAAUGCAGGUGCAGCUGGACUUUUCUCUGAGCUAUAAGCAUAUCUAUUUAGUCUGCCUAAAAAACAGAUUAUUACCUUUGCUGCAGCUAACAUAAAGGAGAUUAGUUCUUGUGCUGACUGAUGCAGGAUUCACAAAGACAGGCUACGGCCGACUUUGUAAACUCGAUCUCAAAUCAAGUAAGACUACCCGCUGAACUUAAGCAUAUCAAUAAGCGGAGGA